GUGAUCUCUUUGCAGCUACGGUUAUCUUUAGGGAUUAUCGAAUUCUCGGGGCCUAAUCCUAUAAUCCCCGUGGUUCGUGUCACCCUUAGUCAUGCAAGUCACGACGCUUCUUUCAUUGCCAGUUGUUGCUCUUAGGUGUGCUGGAUCCACAGAGUGCUGGAAAGCAAACCUGGAGGAGCUGAGAUGGAAUGUCUGCUUUUGCCUAAACAGAGAGGAAUGGGAAGCUGUGUGUGUGGUACAUGAGGUGCUAUCUCAGACCAGCUGUGGGGGCUGCAGUUACACAAAGACUAGCACCAUGCUUGCGUGCUGCAGCUCUCUGGAGUGUUGCCACACAGACAUGAGGAUCCAGGACUGCCACUUCACUUUGUGUUCACAUCUUCUGAAGGUGAGUAGAGGUGACUUUUGAUCUGGUUUGGGUUCCAACUUAGUACCCUUCAGUGUCUGUUCUCUAAGUGUGGUAAGUCAGGG
rnacentral:lncRNA from 1 species